rnacentral:lncRNA from 1 species
AUAAGUCUCCUUAGCGAUCAAUGACUUUUCAGAUAAUAUAGAUUUCAACAUUAAUCAUAAAAGAACAUUUGAGUAAAUAGUUACCGUACAAUUCAAUCCUUCCACCAUACAAUGUCCCAAUUAAAUAUAAGACAUGGAAUUACUGUUAAGUCUUAUUUUAUUUAAUUAUAUGUAUUUCGAUUCCCAAAUGCACAAUUCCGAAU